CACCAUCCCGUACAUCAGCUGCCAUGGAUCGCGGCGCCGCCCUGUGCCCCAACUAUUGUCGUUGCUUCCUGCCCCAUCCGCCACCGCUGCCCACCGCAUCCACAAUCCGUUGCAUCCCACCGCCGUCUCCACCGCCAGUGUGAACCAUCUCUCUCCUCGGUCCUCUCUCUUGGACCAGCAUGCGGCGGCGCCUGCUUCCGAUUGCGUGGUAGCGACGCGGCUGGUCGAGGGAACGUGGGUGAGGCGUACUGUGUACUGUCGUCGAUCUGUGCCCAUCUCCUGUUCCUCUCCCAUCGAACGUCGUGUCCGUAGUUACUAUAACACACGACGCUCUACUAUCCUGCGGCCAUGCUUAUAAACGACAGCAAUGGUGUCCUAUUGUGCCCCUUCAAACGAUGGACCGCCGAGGCGCCGAAGUAGCAGGAGAAGAUCGCGCUCCGCAUAGCAAAUUCUGCCGUGUUCUAAGUGGCUGCCCGGCAAGAUAAAUUUCUUCUCUGAAGUUCUCUCAUGGAACUUGGGUGGAAUGGAUUCGUGGGUGUGCUAGGUGGAGUGCCACUUGAUUGCCAUGUUAGUAGGUACAAUCUCCUCUCACACACGAACUUGGGUUGCCGAGGAACUGGCUCAAUACUACUAUCCUUUGGCUCUGCAAUGGUGAUUUAGAUACUUUUGUUUUUUCCAAUCAUGAUGGUUUAGUUACUUUAUUAACAGGUGCUUCAGUUAGGACUAAUAGUUGAGAGUGCUCGAUUGGAUUGAAUUUGGCAGAGUACAAUACAAUUUUGUUGUAAUUGGUGGUUUAGUUAGUUUUAAAAAAUGGUUCAUGGGCUCAAUUGCUGUUUAGCUUACUACGAUAUAGUUCUGUGGAUUUUCGGUGAUGAAUGGUGAAGCUUGGUGUGAAGUACUAGAGUUCUGCUUUUACCUAUUGAACCUUACCAUAUUUUAAAUUACCUAAUACCAAAUGCAUUGUUGUUGUUUUUUGCCCAGUGUACUACAGUUUAAUAUGCAGAACUUGAGCUUUGUUUGCCAAGAAAAUGUAUGUGUUAAUUCCCACAAGAAGGAGCAAUUCAUUCCCUGUCCCAAGUAUUUAUCACUCAACAUUGAUGCUUCAUGUGUUUAUUCUGCAGAGACAUGGUCACAUGGAUAAUUAGCAUCUUUUGGCAAAGGCGGGUUAACUCACUGGAGAAAUACUACCGCACCUAUGACUAUGAGUGUAGAUGUCCACUCCUGAUUUUUGAGGACCACUUUAGGAUGUCAUCAUUAGUGCAGCUUCAAAGCUGCUUGACAUUACAUAACAUUUGAUGUUUACUAAUCUGAAAUUUGAGCCUAAGCAAUGUUGAAUAGACUUGAUGGAGUUUCCAAUAAGGAAAUUAGAUAAUCUGGUGUGUGCGCCAUAGGAUUAGUGUUGUUUGAAGAACUUUUUCUUCUUACCAAUCAGGCUAAUGAUUUUAACUGUUGAUGCAGACCCUGUGCUGGAUGGGCUGGAUGUUCAUCAUCAACGCCAGUCAGGGUUUCAGGCUCCUGUGGAACUCAUGCCAUCAGCCAUAUGGAUCUGCAUGUAUUUGAUAGUUUGCUCAAUCAGUUUUAUGCCUUCAACUACAGCUAAGACUACCACAUAACUUCAGUGAGAUUUGUUUUCUAUAGUACUUGGAUUAAUAAUCUUCAAGACUCCAACAAUAUCGUCAUGCUGCUUCUUAUAUUUACUUUCAGUUCUAGACACGUUUGUGAUUUUCCUUAUGGUGCACUACUAAACUGUGUGUGCUAAACCAAACAUGACAUUUGCGCCUUUUCAGAUAUGCUCAUAUGCAUGCACGUUUCAAGAGAAUGUAUCUAUUUAGUAUAUAGAAAGGUACCUAAAAUGUUAGCUUAUCUGGCCGACUCUUAAAAUAUACGGCCCUUUUACUUCUUAUUGCCGUGAACAUGGGGAGCCUUGAACGGAGUAUGGUGUCAAUAAUCAGUAUAUACCAGAACAAUAUAUUUGUGAUAUUACAUAUACUGACUUUGUGAUAAUGGAAUAUAUACCACAUUUUGCCCAUGGACUUGAUACCACAUUUUUUAACUGAUUUGAAUAGCCGAAGUCAUUUUUUAUCUUCAUUGUGGUAUGUGCUACCAUCAAAAGUAGUAUAUAAGGUACUAAUUUCAAGUAUAUACAGAAGACCCAAAGUGGUCGGACCCUUCCACGGACCUUGCGCAAGCAGGAGCUACAUGCACCGGGCUGCCCUUUACAUCUAUAACCAUGUAGUAUGCACACUGAUCUUUGUGCAUGGCAGUAUGUAGCCUACGAAAUCAAAUCAAAAGGGUAUAUAACAUAUAUUUGUAUUGAAGUAAGUAUACCGUUUUUGUGAUGUAGCAUAUACAACAUUUUUUGUAAGGCAAUAUAUGGAAUCAAUAUACUACUUUUUUAGUCAGUAUAUACAUAAAUGUUUGAUUGAAGAUACUCAUAGUCUGAGGUAAAUAUAACUUCCAUGCAAGCUGUCAAAUAGUUUUCUUUUAUCUUGAAAUAAAUUUGUUUUAAAAAAUCAUGGUAACAGAUUUAUUAAAUUAUUACGUGGGAGAGACCCUCAACUAAUAAUAUUGUGUAUACGCUCCUUUCCUCAAGAGGUAGUGAACUAGCGAUCUAUUAUGCUCGACAAAAUCCAGUGUACUAUUAUUGGGAGGGUCACAUGUUCUGAAACUAUGUGUUGUACAUUGCUUCAGUUUGUCUGCCAGAUCCGCUAAAUCAUUUUCACAUAUAUUUUUCUAUCAAAGUGUAGCUGGGAGUGCUGCAUAUCAAACGUACAGUUUUGUCUAAGUUAUGGUAAUUGACUCACUUAAUUGUUAUAUAUGUGGUCCAGGACCUGCUGCCCUUUUGCCAAUUAUUAUCAUGCUCACAGAACAGAACUAAUAAAUGGUAUGUGCAGAAUUAGACAAUAAGAGUAAAAACAAAAGUAGGCUAGGAAAAAGAUACAACAUCAUUAAGCGGCAGUAUUAUCGGAAAGAUUGCACACUAUUGUUGAUUGCCUUGACGCCCUGUACUUCUUCGAGACCCGAAAGAGAUCACUGCUUCUCCACUGUCUAUUCCUCUUCCUGUUAAAAUACAACCUCAAACAAUCUUGCGGCAUGUCUCUCCCUCCUGCUACUUCCAACCCCAUGGAGAGCUAACCCAUGUCUCUCUCAAGACCAAGUUGGGGCAUGGAUCCGCUAUGCUAAAGGAGCUUAUUGACUCAAAACCGUUGUCCUCAUCUUUAUCAGUCUGUUUUGUAUGUGUGCUUGGAUAGUGUUGUGCUCUCCAGGGAUGCAAUCUCGGCUCUUCUCACGUACAACCUAUGGAUGACUCAUGGAGAUUGGUUGGGAAGCAUAAUCCUCUCAUGUACAACCUAUGGACAUAAUGGACAUCGAUCGGAGUAUAACUAUGCUCAUCAGGCGAGCUUAUAAAUUAUAUCUGCUAUCUAAACAGAAGACAAGAGCAUGAAGGAGCCUAAUGUCAGUGUCAACGUCGUCACUGGUCAAGUUAGUAAUAAUUUUUUGUAUCGAAAAAGAAUGUCCAAGACCCUCAAUGGGAGAGUUAACAUCGUCAAUGGCCUGCCCCAGUCUAUUUACAGCUCAUGGUGUUGCUUGAUUUACUGGUCCGCCACAACCUCCUGUUCAAGGAAGUUCCUUGCCAAGCUGUCAUGUCCUGACUUAGAGAAUUGACUUCGCAUGAAUUUUCUUCUAACCCCUUUUUAGUCAGCGGAUAGUGCAGAUAGUUAGACUGGAACACUGACGAUGAAGUUCUCUGUCAACUACUGAAACAUUGAGGGUUCUGUUCUAAUUCUGGAUAACUAUUUUUUUUGCAGGCAAUUGGUUUGCAAAAGCAAAGGCAUGUGAGAACUACUAAUGAGUUGAGCGUUGUUGCUGCUACACUUUUGGUUUUCUGUCAAUUGCGUGUGACAAAUACUCAAUUUUAUGUUAAAUAGAUUGUGCGUGAAAUACUCGGUGCUAUCAACUAGGAGUAAUAGCAUUGCUAGGGUAAGGGAAGUUAUACUCUGUUGAUGUUAUCAUCAACACAGAAGAACUCAUAUAUUUUCUAUUCAUAUACACUUUUUACGACUACGUAAUUCCUGAAUAAGAUAGUUUCAAAUUCUUU